UACGAAGGGGGCUAGCGUUGUUCGGAAUUACUGGGCGUAAAGCGCACGUAGGCGGAUCGAUCAGUCAGGGUGAAAUCCCAGGCUCAACCCUGGAACUGCCUUUGAUACUGUCGAUCUGGAGUAUGGAAGAGGUGAGUGGAAUUCCAGGUGUAGCGGUGAAAUGCGUAGAUAUCUGGAGGAACACCGGUGGCGAAGGCGGUCUGCUGGGCAGUUCUGACACUGAGGCGCGACAGCGUGGGAGCAACAGG
rnacentral:rRNA from 1 species